ACGAUAACGGCGUCGAGCGGCCGUGGACGGGGUGAGUAAUGCCUAGGAAAUUGCCCUGAUGUGGGGGAUAACCAUUGGAAACGAUGGCUAAUACCGCAUGAUGCCUACGGGCCAAAGAGGGGGACCUUCGGGCCUCUCGCGUCAGGAUAUGCCUAGGUGGGAUUAGCUAGUUGGUGAGGUAAGGGCUCACCAAGGCGACGAUCCCUAGCUGGUCUGAGAGGAUGAUCAGCCACACUGGAACUGAGACACGGUCCAGACUCCUACGGGAGGCAGCAGUGGGGAAUAUUGCACAAUGGGCGCAAGCCUGAUGCAGCCAUGCCGCGUGUGUGAAGAAGGCCUUCGGGUUGUAAAGCACUUUCAGUCGUGAGGAAGGCAGUGUAGUUAAUAGCUGCAUUAGUUUGACGUUAGCGACAGAAGAAGCACCGGCUAACUCCGUGCCAGCAGCCGCGGUAAUACGGGAGGGGGCGAGCGUUAAUCGGAAUUACUGGGCGUAAAGCGCAUGCAGGUGGUUUGUUAAGUCAGAUGUGAAAGCCCGGGGCUCAACCUCGGAAUUGCAUUUGAAACUGGCAGACUAGAGUACUGUAGAGGGGGGUAGAAUUUCAGGUGUAGCGGUGAAAUGCGUAGAGAUCUGAAGGAAUACCGGUGGCGAAGGCGGCCCCCUGGACAGAUACUGACACUCAGAUGCGAAAGCGGUGGGGAGCAAACAGGGAUUAGAUACCCUGGUAGUCCACGCCGUAAACGAUGUCUACUUGGAGGUUGUGGCCUUGAGCCGUGGCUUUCGGAGCUAACGCGUUAAGUAGACCGCCUGGGAGAGUACGUCGCAAGAUUAAAACUCAAAUGAAUUGACGGGGGCCCGCACAAGCGGUGGAGCAUGGGGCUUAAUUCGAUGCAACGCGAAGAACCUUACCUACUCCUUGACUUCCAGAGAACUUUCCAGAGAAUGAUUGGUGCCUUCGGGAACUCUGAGACAGGUGCUGCAUGCCUGCCGUCAGCUCGAGUUGUGAAAAUGUUGGGCUAGGUCCCGCAACGAGGGCAACCCUUAUCCUUGUUUGCCAGCGAGUAUUGCCGGGAACUCUAGGGAAACUGCCUGGUGAUAAACCAUGGAGGAAGGUGGGGUACGCCAUGCAGUCACUAUGGCCCUUACGAGUAGGGCUACACACGUGCUACAAUGGCGCAUACAGAGGGCGGCAAACUUGCGAAAAUGAGCGAAAUCCCAAAAGUGCGUCGUAGUCCGGAUUGGAGUUUGCAACUCGCACUCCAUGAAGUCGAAUCGCUAGUAAUCGUGGAUCAGAAUGCCACGGUGAAUACGUUCCCGGGCCUUGUGACACACCGUCAGUCACACCAUGGGAGUGGGCUGCAAAAGAAGUAGGUAGUUUAACCUUCACCUUACCACUUGCCACUUUGUGGUUCAUGACUGGGUAGAAGUCGUAACAAGGUAACC
rnacentral:rRNA from 1 species